AAAUAAUUAAAAUUCCGAACUUAUAAAUUAAAAUAUAUAAAAUAUAUCUAUUUAUUUUUCUAUUUUUUAUAAAUUUUUAAGAAGAAAAGGAUAAUUUUUUGUUGGAGAAGGGUACAAAUAUUAAUUUAAAUUACAAAACCUAAAAAAAAUGAAGGAAAAUUUUUAAAAGAGAGGUGCAAAUUGCCCCAAUAUUUAUAUGUGGCUUCGCCACUGGAAGCGAGUAAUAGUAAAUAGGGUGAUUUACAAUUUAGUUCUUGGGUAUUGCCAUUAUUAACAAAUCAGUCCCUAUAUUUUUAGAAACCUAUUAAAACGUCCUUAUGUUUUAUUUCCGUCAACGAAAUAGUCCUUCCGUCCUAUUUUCCGUUAAAAUUAGAUAAAGGAGGAGAGAGAAAAUUUUUAAAAUCCAAUUUUACCCUCAAAUAAAACCAUUUAUUUAGUCCUUGUAUAUUGUAAUUAUUAACAAGUUAGUUCUUACAUUUUCAAAAAACUAUUAAAAUAUUUUUAUUUUUUUUCAUAUCUAUUAAAACGUACUUAUUAUUUUUUUCCAUCAAUGAAAUAGUCCCUAUAUUUUCUCACAUCUAUUAAAACAUCCUUAUCGUUUAUUUAAGUCAACGAAAUAGUCCCUCCUCAUCGUUUCUUUCUGUCAACGAAAUCGUUCCUCCCUAUAUUUUUAGAAAUAUAUUAAAACGUCCUUAUUGUUUCUUUUUGUCAACAAAAUAGUCCCUAUAUUUUCUCAGAUCUAUUAAAACAUCCUUAUUGUUUCUUUUUAUCAACAAAAUAGUCCCUAUCUUUUCUUUCCUCCUCCUCCUCCUCCUCCUCCUCCUCCUCCUCCGAAGAAGAAGAAGAAGAAGAAGAAGAAGAAGAAGGAGAAGAAGAAGAAGAAGGAGAGAAAGAAGAAAAAGAAGAAAAAGAAGAAGAAGAAGGAGAAGAAUGAGAAGAAGAAGAAGAAGAUAAAGAAGAAAAAGAAGAAAACGAAGCAAAAGAAGAAAAAGGAGAAGAAGCAGAAGAAGAAGGAGAAAAAAAGAAGAAAAAGAAGAAGAAGGAGAAAAAGCAGAAGAAGAAGAAGCAGAAGAAGAAGAAGAAGCAAAAGGAAGAAGAAUUGAUGAAGAAGAAAGGAGAAGGAGAAAAAUAAUUGGGGGUAAUUUAGUCUUUUACUAUAUUUUUAACGGCAAAAAUAGACAGAAGGACUAUUUCGUUGAUGGAGAGAAAACAUAAGGACGUUUUAAUAGGUUUCUAAAAAUACAGGGACUGACUUGUUAAUAAUGGCAAUACUCAGGGACUAAAUUGUAAAUCUCCCUAGUAAAUAAGAAAAAGGCAUACAGGAAACUUACAGUGAGCAAGCUCUUAAUUUCAUUCAUGCUAAAUGAUGUUUCUGUAUUCUCAUGCUGCUCCUUAAGCUCCAAAAGGAGAAUCAAGAAGUCCUUCCUUUGCUUAUCCUUUUCUGCAGUAGUCCUGCC
rnacentral:lncRNA from 1 species